CGCAUCUGUGCAUGCAGCAUAUCAAUAAGCGGAGGAAAAGAAACUAACAAGGAUUCCCCUAGUAACGGCGAGUGAAGCGGGAAGAGCUCAAAUUUGAAAUCUUAAAGGGUUUCCCUUUACGAAUUGUAGUUUAAAGAAGUGUUUUCUGUUGAGGUUUUGGUAAAAGUUCUUUGGAAUAGGACAUCAUAGAGGGUGAGAAUCCCGUAUUUGACCUUUACUUUCAACUUUGUGAUACACUUUCAAAGAGUCGGAUUGUUUGGGAAUGCAGUCCAAAAUGGGUGGUAAAUUUCAUCUAAAGCUAAAUAUUGGCGAGAGACCGAUAGCGAACAAGUACCGUGAGGGAAAGAUGAAAAGAACUUUGAAAGGAGAGUUAAACAGUACGUGAAAUUGUCAAAAGGGAAGCGUUUGACACCAGUGUUGUUUUUCUGAAAAUCAAUUAAAGAACUGUUUAUGCUAAGUUGUUUAGACUUUAUCAGCUAACUGUUUAGUUUUGAGCUUUUCUUUAAUGCACUUUUCAGUUAACAAGUCAACAUCAAUUUCUUUUGCUGUAAAAAAGCUUGAGGAAGGUGGCUUGAGAUUCGUCUUAAGUGUUUAUAGCCUCUUGCCUAUGCAGUCGGAGAGAUUGAGGUCUGCAGCGUAGAUCCUUCGGGGCUAAAUGCAUUUGUGCUAAGUUAUAGCAUUUUAUAGACAACUUGUUGACUAUGAUUUGUCUUGUAGCUUACUCGCUUAUGUUAUUUUACCUACGCUUAGGAUGUUGAGCGCAUGUCUCUCUCU
rnacentral:rRNA from 1 species